GAUUGAACGCUGGCGGCGUGCCUAACACAUGCAAGUCGAGCGAUGAAGGGAGCUUGCUCCCGGAUUAGCGGCGCACGGGUGAGUAACGCGUGGAUAAUCUACCCACGAGAUCGGGAUACCAGCUGGAAACGGCUGACAAUACCGGGUAACAUACAAUUUUACUAUUGUGUCAAAGGCGGGGCAACCUGUCGCUUGUGGAUGAGUCCGCGUCCCAUUAACUAGUUGGUAAGGUAAUGGCUUACCAAGGCAGUGAUGAGUAGCCGGCCUGAGAGGGUAAUCGGCCACACUGGGACUGGAACACGGCCCAGACUCCUACGGGAGGCAGCAGUGGGGAAUAUUGCGCAAUGGACGAAAGUCUGACGCAGCGACGCCGCGUGAGGGAUGAAGGCCUUCGGGUUGUAAACCUCUGUCAGGAGGGAAGAACCGCCAUGGUAGUAACUGCCCAUGGUCUGACGGUACCUCCAAAGGAAGCACCGGCUAACUCCGUGCCAGCAGCCGCGGUAAUACGGAGGGUGCAAGCGUUAAUCGGAAUCACUGGGCGUAAAGCGCGCGUAGGGACAUCCAGGGAACCCUCCCCAAAAGGAGGGGUUCUCUUCGGAGAACCCUGAGACAGGUGCUGCAUGGCUGUCGUCAGCUCGUUCCGUGAGGUGUUGGGUUAAGUCCCGCAACGAGCGCAACCCCUAUUGUUAGUUGCCAGCAGGUGAAGCUGGGCACUCUAACGAGACUGCUGUGGUCAACACAGAGGAAGGUGGGGACGACGUCAAGUCAUCGUGGCCCUUACGCCUAGGGCUACACACGUACUACAAUGGCGCACACAAAGGGCUGCGAAACCGCGAGGUCAAGCCAAUCCCAAAAAAUGCGUCCCAGUCCGGACUGCAGUCUGCAACUCGACUGCACGAAGUCGGAAUCGCUAGUAAUCCUGGAUCAGCAUGUCCAGGGUGAAUGCGUUACCCGGGCCUUGUACACACCGCCCGUCACACCACGAAAGUUGGUUUUACCCAAAACCGGUGAGCUAACCAUUUACUUGGAGGCAGCCGU
rnacentral:rRNA from 1 species